UACGGAGGGGGUUAGCGUUGUUCGGAAUUACUGGGCGUAAAGCGCGCGUAGGCGGACCAGAAAGUUGGGGGUGAAAUCCCGGGGCUCAACCCCGGAACGGCCUCCAAAACUCCUGGUCUUGAGUUCGAGAGAGGUGAGUGGAAUUCCGAGUGUAGAGGUGAAAUUCGUAGAUAUUCGGAGGAACACCAGUGGCGAAGGCGGCUCACUGGCUCGAUACUGACGCUGAGGGGCGAAAGUGUGGGGAGCAAACAGG
rnacentral:rRNA from 1 species